GACCUCUAACCUUACCCAUCAUACAAAACUUUCUGCAUUUAAAAAAACAAAAAAAACGAACUUUUUUAAUAUACAUGUUUAUAAUCAAUUUUCCUUGUAAGGACCAGCAAAAAAUCCUCAGAAAGUAAUGAAUCUCGAGUGUUACUAUCCUUGUGGGGCAGUACAUGGCUAUACAUACCCACACACUCACAUACACACUCACUCACACACACACACACACACAUCCAGCAGCUGAACUCAAGGUCUAUCAGACUCAGUGUAUUUUCACACGAGCCGUUGAAGCCAAACCCGCUGAUGUCCAGUUUCAGGAAACCAUCUGAAGCAAAACACACACACACUCACUCACUCACUCACACACACACACACUCAGAUAUUAACAAUCAUGUGAAUAUUUUUUCAAAGGAGGACAGCCGAGUUCAUUCACUGUGAUUGAUGGGUGAUACCGUCGUCGGCCCUUCGCUAACUCGAAGCGUUUACAAGCCAUGAACACAAAAAUAUGCACAACAAACACACACUAGAGCGAGUGUGGCGGCGAACGCCAGCGAUCUGGAGAUCGGAAGUGUGUUUCUGAGACUCAUCAGGCUAAACAUGAAUUAAGUUGUGGUUGUAAUACGGGUGCGUCGUUUGCUGGUUGAGCGAGUGAUGAUGUCACGGAUGUACGGUGUGAUGAUGUCACGGAUGCAAGGUGUGAUGAUGUCACAGACUUACGGUGUGAUGAUGUCAUGGAUGCAAGGUGUGAUGAUGUCACGGGUGCAAGGUGUGAUGAUGUCACGGAUGUACGGUGUGAUGAUGUCACGGGUGCAAGGUGUGAUGAUGUCAUGGAUGUGACUUUAUAAAAUAGUGUCAUACAUAAAGAGAGAUUCAUAUUAAUGUAACAAUAAUGAGAAGCUGUGUGUGUGUGUACGAUGUGGGUGUGUGUGAGAGCUUCUGUGGUGUGUGUGCACCUGGUUGUAUAUGUGUGUGUGCAUUAGAGAGACUGAAGCACUGUGUUAUUUGUUCAACACUGUUUCUCUUUAUUUGCACCUGUGUGUCGGGAAACGUGCUCCUGCUUUUCCUCUCUGAUGAUGAUGAUUUCUCGUUGCCGUGUCGUGUCUGUGCCUUUAAUCGUGCGCUUUCUCCUGUAAAUGUGCAUAAACACUCCUGACGCACUGAUCACAUGAACUACAGUUACACAUUAGAAAGGUUCUGAUAUAUUUAAAGAGAGAUUUAUAUAGUAAUAAAUGUCACAGAAAUGCAGUAUAUAUUCUAUAACACUUUUUUGUACAUUAGAAUAUUUUUGUGUGCUAUAUUCUGUAAGCUUUUGUUUCUGUCCUCUGUUUUGUCAUCUGUGGAUCACAUCCCCGUGUGGUCGAAUAAAGCCGUGAGCUGACGGACAGUGUGUGUGA